UACAGAGGUGGCAAGCGUUGUUCGGAUUUAUUGGGCGUAAAGGGUCCGUAGGCGGCUUUUAAAGUCGGAUGUGAAAGCCCACAGCUCAACUGUGGAACUGCAUUCGAUACUCAAAAGCUAGAGUAUGAGAGGGGUAAAGGGAAUUCCCGGUGUAAGGGUGAAAUCUGCAGAGAUCGGGAGGAACACCAGUCGCGAAAGCGCUUUACUGGCUCAUUACUGACGCUCAGGGACGAAAGCUAGGGGAGCAAACGGG
rnacentral:rRNA from 1 species